rnacentral:misc_RNA from 1 species
UGUAAAUCUAGAAUCUAAACAAAAUCGAACCAAAUUAAAAUUAUAGGACUAACUGAACCAAACUAAACCGCCCAGUAUUAGUUUAGUUCGGUUUAAUGAAAACUAAAACUUUGAAAACAAUAACUAUGGCAUAGAAAUUAUAAUAAUUUAUAAUUGGGCAAUAUAAUAGAAAAUCCAGUUGGUUGAAUAUAGAUCACCAAGCCUCUCAUAUGCUAAGUGAAGCCAUUUACAAUUUCAGACUCACACAAAAACACUAUAGCAUAUGAAAUACAAGCAAAGCAAGUAACAUUAAUUUCAGAUAUCUAGAAUUUCAAUUGCACACCCAUGCAAUAUGAAAUACAAGUAAUAUGAAUUUCAGAAGUUUAGCUGCACACCCAACCAAGCAAAGUACCCAAUAGCAACAAAAGGGGGAAAAAAAAGAAGAGUAAUUUGAAAUGCACUAAAUACUGAAGGAGAAGAACCACAAGUUGAAAUGCACA